UACAGAGGUCCCAAGCGUUGUUCGGAUUCACUGGGCGUAAAGGGUGCGUAGGUGGUGAGGUAAGUCGGAUGUGAAAGCUCGGAGCUCAACUCCGAAAUGGCAUUGGAAACUACCUUGCUCGAGGGAUGGAGGGGGACUGGAAUUCACGGUGUAGCAGUGAAAUGCGUAGAUAUCGUGAGGAAGACCAGUGGCGAAGGCGGGUCUCUGGACAGUUCCUGACACUGAGGCACGAAGGCCAGGGGAGCAAACGGG
rnacentral:rRNA from 1 species